rnacentral:rRNA from 1 species
GACGAACGCUGGCGGCGUGCCUAACACAUGCAAGUCGAACGGAAAGUCCGUGUCUUUUUGCGGUGCUCGACGGACGAACGGGGGAGUAACACGUAGGUAACCUAUACUUCCCUUUGGGAGGUGUUCAGGAAGCUGGAUCUAUUCCCGCAAAGGAUCUACUGCUGCUGGGUGGGCGUUGGAUGGUUUCGGCGGUUGGGGAUGGACUCGCGGCUUAUGAGCUUGUUGGUGGGGUAGUGGCUUACCAAGGCUUUGACGGGUAGCCGGCCUGAGAGGGGGACCGGCCACACUGGGACUGAGAUACGGCCCAGACUCCUACGGGAGGCAGCAGUGGGGAAUAUUGCACAAUGGGCGGAAGCCUGAUGCAGCAACGCCGCGUGCGGGAUGACGGCCUUCGGGUUGUAAACCGCUGUCGCCUGUGACGAAGCGUGAGUGACGGUAAUGGGUAAAGAAGCACCGGCUAACUACGUG